rnacentral:pre_miRNA from 1 species
GAGUAGUGGUGCAGCCAAGGAUGACUUGCCGGUAAAGAUAGAUAUAAAUUUGACAUUAUCAAUUAUAUCAUCAUGGUUUAUAAUCUAUAUAUAUAUGUACAUAUUAUAGCAAUCAACGUAAUAUAUAUACAUGCAAUUCUAUAUCAAUUUAAUUAUCUGUACUAUGAAUGUUAGUAAUAUUUAUUUAUUACCGGCAAGUCAUCUCGGGCUAUAUCACUGUUUCA